AGGUGGCAUCGUGGCGUGUGUUUGCGUUCUCGUGGUGCACACAGCGUAAAGGUGGCAUCGUGGCGUGUGUUUGCGUUCUCGUGGUGCAGCGGAGAUGGAACACAGCGUAAAGCGCUCCACACAAGUCGAUAACAUCAACAAAGCUCACUGUGGAGAGGCGGAGCCGAUGGUCCGACAGAGCGGCAGGGCACGCUGGAGCCCGGCCCAAGAUGGCGGAGGGGAGGCGGAGUAUUCGAACGAGCG